GCUAGGGGGCCAUCCCGGCUUACCAACCCGAUGCAAACUGCGAAUACCGGAGAAUGUUAUCACGGGAGACACACGGCGGGUGCUAACGUCCGUCGUGAAGAGGGAAACAACCCAGACCGCCAGCUAAGGUCCCAAAGUCAUGGUUAAGUGGGAAACGAUGUGGGAAGGCCCAGACAGCCAGGAUGUUGGCUUAGAAGCAGCCAUCAUUUAAAGAAAGCGUAAUAGCUCACUGGUCGAGUCGGCCUGCGCGGAAGAUGUAACGGGGCUAAACCAUGCACCGAAGCUGCGGCAGCGACACUG
rnacentral:rRNA from 1 species